rfam:Zea mays cultivar B73 chromosome 6, whole genome shotgun sequence.
GUCCUAUGAAGACUGCAAGACCUACCGAUAGGAAUUGCCAUUUGACACUAUAACCAUCAGUUGGCUCUCUCAGUUACAUGUGUCCAUCCAACCACAACCUUUGCGGUUUGGUCCGUGAUGAAGCUCACGCAUGUUGUUGUUUGAUUCAUCUGUGGUGUAAUUUAAAGUGGGUCUCUAAGGGAU